CAUCACUACGCUAGAUGCAUAUCAAUAAGCGGAGGAAAGAAACUAACAAGGAUUCCCCUAGUAACGGCGAGUGAAGCGGGAAGAGCUCAAAUUUGAAAUCUUAAAGGGUUUCCCUUUACGAAUUGCUAGUUUAAAGAGGUGUUUUCUGUUGGAGUUUCGGUAAAAGUUCUUUGGAAUAGGACAUCAUAGAGGGUGAGAAUCCCGUAUUUGACCAUUUACUUUCCAGCUGUGUGAUACACUUUCAAAGAGUCGGAUUGUUUGGGAAUGCAGUCCAAGAUGGGUGGUAAAUUUCAUCUAAAGCUAAAUAUUGGCGAGAGACCGAUAGCGAACAAGUACCGUGAGGGAAAGAUGAAAAGAACUUUGAAAAGAGAGUUAAACAGUACGUGAAAUUGUCAAAAGGGAAGCGUUUGACACCAGUGUUGUUUAGUUGAAAAUCAAUUCAAUAGUUUUUGAUUCUAAGUAGUAUUGACUUCAUCAGCUUGCUGCUUUCUUCUCAGAAAUUAUUGAAUGCACUUUUCAGUUAACAAGUCAACAUCAAUUUCUUUUGUUGUAAAAGGGUAAGAGGAAGGUGGCUUGCGCUUCGGCUCAAGUGUUUAUAGCCUUUUAUCUCUGCAAUCGGAGAGAUUGAGGUCUGCAGCGUAGAUCCUUCGGGGUUAGAUACAUUGGUGCUAAGCUAUAGCCUUGUAUAGACAACUUGUUGACUAUGCUCAGUCAUGUAGCUUACUCGUAGAUGCUAUUUUACCUACGCUUAGGAUGUUGACACACGCGCGUGCUCG
rnacentral:rRNA from 1 species